UACAGAGGUCCCAAGCGUUGUUCGGAUUCACUGGGCGUAAAGGGUGCGUAGGUGGCGGGGUAAGUCGGAUGUGAAAUCUCCGAGCUCAACUCGGAAAUGGCAUUGGAAACUACCUUGCUCGAGGGUUGGAGGGGGGACUGGAAUACUUGGUGUAGCAGUGAAAUGCGUAGAUAUCUGGAGGAACACCGGUGGCGAAGGCGGCAUCCUGGACCAACACUGACACUGAGGAGCGAAAGCCAGGGGAGCAAACGGG
rnacentral:rRNA from 1 species